CAGGAGAGGGCACUGUAAGAAGCAUUGCUGGGGGUUGAAUUAGCUUUUUAAUGUUCGUAGAGAGAUGCAAGUAGGGGUUCGGCCCUCUGCAAGUUUGUUUUUCCGUUGCUCGGCUGUACUGCUUUGGCUUGCGUUCCAGGGCCAGACUGGACCAGGCAGGCACUGAGACUUCGUGAAGUACCUGCAGAUAUUUUUGGACUGCGGGCCAUCCUCAUCUGCUUCUGGCAUUAAAAUCACUAUGUUAGAGUCAAGCCGAGUUCAUUCUCCCAGUGACUGCUCAGCUGUUGGACCAUGCUCCGCAGAGCUGGGGUUGGUCACACGCAAGCCAUGUGGUGCUCAGAAGUAACCACAGGGUCAGGACGUGUGCAGCCCUCUAGGUGCAGAACUGUAAUUUGGAGGAGAAAGUUGGUUUGUUGCUUGCAUAUUUCAGGCAGUUCACCAGGCUCCUGUGGAACCCCCACUCUCCUAUAUGAAGGUGAAAGUUGGCUCUUGAGUUUUGAACCUGUUUCUACAGAUAUGCAACUUAAGACAUUAGGAGUGCUUUGGGAAAGGGAGAGGCUGUCAUGUCAGGCCAGCCUGUUGGUCUGUUCUUUGCACAGAGACCAGAUCUGGGCCCAGCUGUUUUUAGGGUUUGGGUUCAAACAGCCUUUGAAAUCACUGGCAUAGAUGACAUGGAUCAGAAAUUCUGGGUAAGUGCUAUUGUAGGGGAGGGGGUUUCAUUGAUGCAUUGGAAACAGAUAAGUCCCGUUUAGGAAUUGGCUGAGUCAUGGUUGGAAAAGCACUGAGUCAUGGUCCAGGGUAUUAUAUAUUAGAAAGGCUGACAGCUGAUAUCUACACUAAUUUUUUUCCCUGGAUGAUUAAAUUUCCCACCUUCCUGGCAGCAGGAAUGAGAAUACAAGUGAUGUGCAGUAUUUCCAGGCCUGGCCUACAAACCUCCCUGAAUGGUGCUCAAGGCUGACUGGCCGAGGUCACCUGGGAGCCAGCAGCUGUGGGCCCUGAAACAUUGGAUGUAUGUGAGUGAGAAGUAAAGCUUGUGGAGACCCUGAGGUUUGGAGUUUUGUUUACUACAGUACUUACCCUCCGAGGAUUAGAAAUCCCCAAACCUGAGUGACUGUAAGGCUCUGCCCUUGAGGUCCCAGGGCAGUGAACACGUCUAUCUCUGUGGGGACUGAGAACAAUGGUACCUUCCCCUCUCCAGGUUCAGGCUGAAAGAGCAGGUUUGGCAGCCACCUGCAGGGCAGAGUCCAGAAUCUUGAGCCAUUUUUAGUGAAGAAUUAAGAAGCAGUCUUAGACUUGAAGGGGAGGAAAACUUAACUCAUUUUUUUUCUGUCUUAGGUUCAUUGGCUGGGCCCCUGUAAAUCUGAUGACAAAUGACAAACUAACAAGACAAAAGCAAACAGAGGCUUAUUAGCACAUGCAUGGCGCAUACACAUGGGAGUCUUCGUGAUAAAUAACUGACGUGGUUAGUUAAAAUUUAGGCUUAUAUAGCAUCUUAAAAUGGGACAAUACAUUUUUAGAGAAGUGACUGGCCAAAGGGAAAGGACUGAGUUUUAUGGGUAGCAAAUUGUAGGAACUAAAUAUAUGGGGGAUCUAAUGGCAGAUAGGGCUAUUUUAAGAAAGGUUUUUUUAUAUAGAUUCCUCUAGUGCCAUCUUUGGGUCAUUGACUUCUGUAGAGGGGACUGCGGAAACACCUUCACAGAUUUAUGUCCUGCCGUUCGGCAGAUGGCGGGAGGGCAGAGAGCUUUUCUUGCAUCUGCUGCUUCUCAGCUGCCUUCAGCUCAAAGUCAUCCUUGUGCAAAGCAGUGUAUUUUGGGGUGGCGUUUUCUUCAGACUGCACUGUGAUCUUGGGGAAAAUUCCUUCCAUCGUUGAAGGUAUUUAGGGCUGAGGAGGGAGAAGAGGCACAGAGAUUGCUGCCCCUUGAGAACAGUACUAACCCAGGACAACGGGGCCCCGUGUUGCCAGACCCAGCUCUGGUCCAGGUGAGGACCAGCACCUCCCUAGCCUUGACCAAGGGCCCCCAGCCAGUCCCAGGCCCAGAUGGCUGCAGGAAGGAGUCCUAUUACACCUGGACCAGCCACCCCUGGCAUUUUCCUGACCCGAGAGUGAGUGGAGCAGGGUCAUUGGUGAUCCAGGUUGGCCUAGAACUUUGGGGUUGGACGUACCCUGGCUUUGCUACAAUUGAGGGGAAGAGAGACAUCCAGUGACAGCUUUAACUUGGAGACCACCUCCUCCUCCAUUGGCUAGCUGUGGGGGAGGGCGGAGCCUGAGGGUGGGGCACAUCUCCCCAGGGAAUUUGCUGUCUCCACUCUGAGGCUUGUGAGGUCCUGUUGAGAUUCACGUCUGAUUUCUUUGUCAAAUCAACUAUGUAAGAGCCACCUGUCCUCGUCUGUGCUCCUCUCAGCCCCAUGGAUCCUCCCUCUCAGUGCCCAGACCUCACUCUGAUCACACUAGGCAAGCUGAGGAGCCUGGUGGCUAGGUAGAUAUCCACAAGUAGAUGGGAUGCCAGCCUCUGCGGGUCUAGAGUGCUGCCCUGGGGCUCCCUCCUUCAGGGCUGGGUGAGGCCCCUUCUCCACUCCCUACCACAGAGGGUAGCUUCUUCCUGCUCUUCCUGCUCCCUUACUAUCUCCUGUUUGUGGAGACUAUUGUCUUCAUCACCUUGGGCCGCUGUAACAAAAUAUUCUACUGGGAGGCUUAAACAACAGACAUUUAUUUUUCAUCGUUCUAGAGGCUGGGAAGUUCCAGAUUGAGGUGCCAGCCGAUUUGGUGUCUUGUGAGAUCCAGCUUCCUGGCUUGUACAAAACUCUGUGUCCUCACAUGGUGGAGAUAGAGUGAGCAAUUCCCCUUCUUAUAAGGACACUAAUCCCAUCCUGGGGACUCCACCCCCAUGACUCAUCUAAAUCUGAUCGCCUCCCCAUAGGCCCCCUCUCCUGAUGCCACCCCAUGGGUUAAGGCCUCAACAAGUGGAUUUUGGGGGGAUACACACAUGCAGUCCAUAGCAGGCAUCCAGGCAGCUUAGCGUCUCACUGGGAGAAGCACCAAGAUCCAAGUCUUCUUUGAACUUAGCCUUGGAAAGUUGAAGAGCAUUGCUUUCCGGGGAGCCUUCUACGCUAUCUGCACAGCGGUCACUCAUCAACAGAAUGGUACCAGUCCACUCCUUGGCUUGGCUUCUCGGGUGUUGAUGGAGUUGGCUUCCGUGUGUUGAGAAUGUCAGUGUGAGAUACUUCAUGUUUUUAAUUCAUUUAAUCCUCACAAUUCUAUGAGGAAGUGCUGCUAUGAGCUUUGUUUUACAUGUGGGGAAACUGAGGUCCAGAGAGGUAAGUAACUUGCCCAAAAGCUACAUAGCGUGUCAGUGGUAGAGCCAGGACUGGACCCCAACAGUUCACUUUCAGUCUUUUCUCUUAACUGUAGCUCUCCUUUCAAUAACUGUUUAAGGGACAUGUUUUUAUUCUUUUUAGCAGAUGGGGAAAUGGGCUCCAGAAGGCUACAUUUCUUGUCUCCAGUUAUACCCAGAAUGAAUGAUGGCUGGCAUCAAACUAGCACCCUGUAAAGUCUGGAGCUUUAACUCCUAUUUUAUCCUGCCAGAUCUGUGCCCAUUUGCUUUCCUCUUUCUACAAGAAGAAAUUGUCCAUCAUGUUUUUCCAAUAUUUUCUUCUUUUCCCUGACUUCAUCACAGCACUGCUUUCCCAUUAGGCCUUUGUCCUUGUGGACAUUGUGCUUUCCCAGCAUGCGCAUGGGCAAAUAUUCACUGAGUGCCUACUGUGUGCCUGUGCUACACCAGCCCCGGGACACUUGAUGUACAACACAAAGGUCCCUGCCUUUGUGGAGCUGACUCUUGGAGAAAGGGAUGAUAUGUACCGUCAGUAGGUAAACCCCAGAGUAGGAACAGAAGUCAGUGAUAAAGAGGAAAAUCACAGAGGGGGGAUGGGAAGUUGAUGGGGUGGGACUUAAAUUAUAGCUGGGGUGGCCAGGACUCCACUGGAAGGGUGACGUUUGGAAGGCAGACUCUCUGCCUGCUCUGCCUUUGGCAGGUCAGGGCUUCUAGAAGCGUUGAGAUUAACUGUGCCACUGAUAUGAAUAUCAAAGAGCAUACAUAGGAAGGGUCCCCAGGGUGGGCAGCUGUCCCACAGCGGGGACAAGUGGGUGUGCCCUGGGCCCACUCCACCUUUGCUUUCCUUCUGCAGGGCCUGAUGUUUACAGAAGGCCUCCCACCUGCCAGGCACUGUGCUGGGCCCUCAUGCCAAAGGUCCAGGUUCCAAUUUACAGUUUCAUAAUAUUCCAGAUACUGUCUGUUGUCUCCUGUACCCCAUGGUUACAGAAUCAAAGGGACCAAACAGCUGUGCCUGGGCUGGAGGGGCUGCCUCGGGAGCAGCGGGCUGGCAUGCUCCGCUCCCCCUUGCUGAGCUGCCCAUUAAACGGAAGGGUCCCUGGAGAGGCGGGGUGAGGGGACUGGCUUUAGGGGCUCGUGGCCGCAUUUCUGUUGUCACAGAGCUCCAACUGCUAAAGUAAACAUAAGUUUUGAAUAAAGUGGGGACCCCAAGAGGUUUUCAUUUUGGAAAAGAAAUCAACAAGACAGUGACUGUUUGAGGCCAAGAAAUCCUUUUCUUCCAUGCCCAGAUCUGCAUAGUCUGUGUGGUGAAAGUUGGAAGGAGCUGGAAAUGCAGGGAUUGUGCCUAAUGCCAAGGGGCAGGUCACGGAGCAGAAGGGGCUCUAGAGGCAGGCUGGCUCUGCCCCUAACCAGCGUGUGACCUCAGCCUUAUUACCUUGACCUUUCAGCCAUGGUGGGGCUGCUGCACGCCUGGCGGUAUUAUCAUGGAGUUCUCUGCUCUGGGAGGAAAGGGGAGCUGCCUUCCAAACUCACCUUGCCGGGACGUAUCCCUUCUCCUCCCCGCAGACCAUUCUUGUCUCCUAGCUGCUGGGAGUCGGGGUGAUGGUCGCCUGUUUGGA